AAGGCGACUGUCAACCCUCAAAGGGGCGCUCAGAUGGAACUCAGAAAAAAUAAAAAAAGAGUGAGUUUAGUAUCAGUGGAUCAGGGGAGUGGGGAUAACCUGGGAAUUCUGGUCUGGUGGGGCAGGCGACACAGACCGAAGGCCACCCCCACCCCCAGCCUCGAGCCCCCUCUGCGUGGGGCCCCUGGGGGCCUGGGGACAUUUGCAUGUACUCUCAGGAGAUUCUCCUUUCUUCUCCCUGGGUUUCAUCUUUAAUAACUAGAUGAUGGGCUGUUGGGGAAUGCAGGGCCAGCGCUCUAGGAAAGUGAAACCGCCUUGCAGAGGGAAAGCAACGCACUGUGGCCCCGAAAGACCCAGACCGCCAGCGGCCCCGGGCAGCCGCGGAGGGCACCGGCUCACACUUCCUGCCUCUCACAAGCUCUUGCUUGGCAUGCAUUGGUGACUUGAACUGGGGGUUAACCCAAAAAGAUCAAGUGAGAGCUCAAGGCGGGUGAUGAGAACAGAUUCGGGGCUGGUUAACCUCAGAGAGCGGGAGUCCGUUGGUGCUAAUGAGGCCAAGGGAGCCCGGCUCCUUUCUGCCCCCAGGCAGGUGAGAAAGAAAGAACGGAGACGAAAGAGGGCCCGCUGAGUCUACUCCUCUUGGCCCGGAAGCCCAGCUCUACCCUGAGGCCACAAACUGCCCCCUACUGGAGAAAUCGCUGCAGGAUUUCUCCUCCAUCAAAUCGCUGUGUCAGAGCCAGUUGGGGGCUUUUAAAAGACGCCCACGCUCAGGCCCCCACCAGGCCACCUACAUUGGAAUAUCUGAGGCUAAGUCCCAAGCUAGAAUUUCCCAUCUUCUUUCUGGCCUUGGGAGAUUUUGCAUCUCCUUCCAGGGAAGGAAGCCUGACUUCUGAAAUGAUUCUCACGAAGGAGAAGUGCUCGGUUCUGCAGUGAGCCUGACCAGGGGGGCCACACCACAGACUCCCAGGAGGCUUCUUUUCUGCUCUGCGUGGUUCUUCUGCUCUCGUUUCCUUAACGAUUGGGCCAGAGCAUCUCUGCUCUUGUAAAAUAUCAGGCAAUUAGAUCUCGAAGUCUUUGAAGUGGGCAGAUUCACCAGGCGUUGGACUGAAGUUUCUAUUUGUCCUGGCACUGAGAAUAGCAAAGGAACAGGGGGACUGAACUGGUAUGAAAAGAGGCAUAGAGAGGUGAAGUAUCUUGCUGAUAUCUUCUAGACCGGGCUGGCUGCAGGGUCUGUUGCUCUCAACCAGAGAAAAUAGAACCAUGAAAGAACAAGGUCAGCCUGUUGCCCAGGCUGGAAUGCAGUGGCUCAGUCUCAAAUCACUGCAACCUCCACCUCCUGGGCUUAAGUGAUUCUUCCACCUCAGCUCUGCCCAGCUAAUUUUUUUGUAGAGACAAGGUCUCACCAUGUUGCCCAGGCUGGUCUCAAACUCCUGGACUCAAGCAAUCCUCCUGCCUCGGCCUCCCACAGUGCUAGAAUUACAGGAAGCCAGUUGCCAUGUCAUGGGAAGGACACUCAGGCAGCCCCGGGAGGAGACUCAUGUGAGGAGGAACUGAGAUGUCUUGCCAACAGCCAUAUGAGGGAGCCAUCUUGGAAAUGAAUCUUCUAGUCCCAAUCAAGUCUGCAGAUGACCAGAGCCUCAGCUAAUAACUUGGCUGCAGCCUCAUGAGAGACCCUGAGCCAGAACCACUCAGCCAAGGUGCUCCUAGAUUCCUGCCUCUCAAAAACUGUGUGAGAUAAUAGAUGCUUAUCAUUUCAAGUUGUUUAGGGUAAUUCAUUGUGUAGCAAUAGAUAACUGAAACAGGAGGCUCUACAUUUACUCUUUUUUUUUUUUUUUCUUGGAGACAGAGUCUUGCUGUGUCACCCAGGCUGGAGUGCAGUGGGGCGAUCGCUCAUUGCAACCUCCGCCUCCCUGGUUCAAGCAAUUCUCAGGCCUCAGCUUCCCUGGUAGCUGGGACUACAGGAGUGCGCCACCAUGCCCAGCUAAUUAUUUUGUAUUUUUAGUAGAGACAGGGUUUCACCAUGUUGGCCAGGCUGGUCUCAAACUCUGGACCUCAAGUGAUCUGCCUGCCUUGGCCUCCCAAAGUGCUAGGAUUACAGGCAUGAGCCACCGCACCCAGCCUACCUUUACUCUUAAAAUGUCAUAAACGCACAGAGUGUUUUGAGGAGUCUUUUAUCCCAAAGUAUUCCAACUAUAUUUCUUUUAAAAAUUUAGGGCAAUUCAGGCAUUUUAACACAUGUGACCCUCCCCGCCCCACAUUCCCCCACCCUUCAUUAUUUCAAACUGGAGUGGUCUUCUGAAUUUUUUCCUGAACGUGUUUCUAGAAAGUUUAUACCAAGUAAAACAGCUAUAUCCAAGUUCCUAGUAAUUAUUACAGCAAUUACAAGGGUUCCAAGCCUAAUAAAGUAAUCUAAGGGCAGGAGGUUUGGAGGUAUGGCUAUUUCUUGGCAUUCUUCUAAUGACAGCCUGCAGCCGAGUAGCAUCUUGGCAGUUGUCCACUGUUUGAAUACGUUAGACUGCUCCUGACUCUGUCACUUGCUAACUGUGUGACCUUGGGCAAAUGAUCAAACUCUCUGUGCCUUAAUUGCAUAUAAAUUUUAGAAUCUAAUUAUAAUACCUGCUCUGUGGAAUCCUGGGGAAGAUUAAAACGAGAGGGGGUAGAGCAUGGUGCUUAUGAGCAUUGAACUAAAUUGCCUGAGUUUGAGUCCUAGCUCCAGUGACUUUUCAAGCUGUAUGAUCUUGGGAAUGUUACCUAAUCUCCUUGUGCCUCAAUAUUCCACAUACAUAAAAUGGGGUGAGGUGGGGAAAUGGUGCUUACCUCCUAUGACUGUCAUGAGAAUUCAAUGGAGCCAAUUCAUACACUAUUCCUGGUACACAGUAAGUAGCAUAUGGCAAGCAUGCUAGGUAUAGUUGUGCAGGUUGUUCACUGUUCAAGGGCUCUGACCUGAGAGGUCAAGUGAGGACUUGCCAGGCCAUACACUUUGGUAUGAGGUUGCCUACCUAGAGGUGGCACUGUUUUCUAAUUUGUACCAGGCCCUAUAUCAGCUAGCUGUCAGCAUAAGGGUUUGUAGUAUCCAGCAACCGCUACCUUAGCACUAUCUUUAGGCUUUAGGCUGAUGUUCACUGAGCACAUGCCAGUUUUAUUGUAACUGUUACUUGGUAGCUUCCUGGAGUUCUCCAGGAUAACAUCAGUGGGAUGCCUAUAUCCCAAACCUUGCCCUUACCAUUCAGAUACAAUGCUGAAAAUCAAAUAAAAACUAUUAGCAAGGUAUAAAGUUUAAAAUCCUGCAAGACAAUGUUAUAUAUUGCUUAGGCAUACAUACAGAUUUGGUUCAAGUAUAGAAAAACGCAUAAGAAUGAUAAACCCCACGUCUGGAUAAUGGGUUACCUGGGGUGGGGAGGAAGUGGAAUUAGAAAGGGAUGAAGGAAGCUUCGGCUCUAUUCAUAAUUUAUUUCUUCAGCUUAAUGGUGGCUACAUAAGUAUUUAUUAUUUUUUCGUCUUUAAUAUUUAAAAAUAAUGUAUAAUUAAUACUAUUAAAUAAGACCCGUCUAUGUAAAAACUAAUUUUGCAUUUCUCUCCUCAUUAGUCUCUGUUAAAUAUUAAAUCAGUACAUUGAUUGGGAAUGACAGAAUCAAGCAAUCAUUCAUUCAACAAGUGUUUACUUGUUGAACGAUAGGAUGUCCAAAGAGCUAAGAACUUCAUCCAUCCGCUGUAAUACUUAGAACGCUUGUAAUAUUUAUAAUAACCUGUUUGGUUAUUUGACUACGUUUUCUUCUUUCUGUGAGAGCAGAGUCUCUGUCUUACUCACAUUUAAGAUUUCUGCUCCAUAAUAGGUGAUAAAUAAAUGUUAAUUUAAACCAAA